rnacentral:lncRNA from 1 species
CGGUCUGUUGUGUCUGCACACCAUCCACCUGAGGUAGGGGCCCAAGUGUCCCUUCAUCAUUAAAGGCCAAAAUUGGUUUCAAAGGAAUUUCUGGGUUCUCAUUGGUGACAUCUAAUCUGGACGCUUUUGAUCCAACAGGUCUGGACAUUGACACUGAAAUCAAACCAGCUGAUGAAGUGGUUAACUGACUUGACUGGCUGACACAGAACACUUUUACUGAAGGAUUCGGAGCAAAUCACCAUAGAAGAGGAAGCCACGCUUUAUUAACUGCGCCGUCUGCAGCCAAGCCUGUGCCUGUAGCCUCGUGGGUGUUCCCUAUGGUCGGCUGACUGGGGAAGAGAAGAGUAGGGCCUGGUUUACUAAUGGCCCUGAACAUUAUGCAGGGUGAAAGGACAUCUUCACUGUGGGAGGAACUUCAGGCCGGAUGUUGCCAGGAGAGGAGGAGGGGGCCUGAGCGGAAGCAGCUCUGACUGAGCCGGGAGGCAAGGAGGAUGCAGGCCGGGGAGUACCAGGCAGAUGAGGCAUGGACUUGGAUGGGAGCCUGGGCCAAAGAAGACAAAGACAAUGAGUAGGUCAGGAUCAUCUUACCAGACCCCAG